UUUUUUUGUAUUUUUAGUAGAGACGGGGUUUCACCGUGUUAGUCAGGAUGGUCUCGAUCUCCUGACCUCGUGAUCCACCCACCUCAGCCUCCCAAAGUGCUGGGAUUACAGGCGUGAGCCACCGCACCCGGCCUUACACUUAUGGGUCUUGAAGUCAAAGGAGCCCGCGGUGAUGCCGCCAGCACCUGGGGUUUGUCCGAGCCCCGCAGCUCCUCCGGCCCUGGAGCCUGGGCGCUGCUCGCUGGGAUCUCUGAUCCAGUCUCGCCUCUUUUUGUGUCCAUCCGCAGACAAAUACCUGUUACGUUCUAGGUGCUGAGGACACAGCGUGAGAGAGAAAAGGACAGACACCUCCUUCUUCCUGGAGCCUGGAUGGGGCCGACAGGCACGGGGGAAGCCUCAGCCACUGUCUACUCAGAUUUCCACACGCCACUGCCAAGUGGCCUCCUGUUCUCUGUGUCUGUGCCUCCUCUUCUACCUCUUAGAAGGACACCUGUCACUGGAUUUAGGGCCCUUCCAGGUACUCCAGGAUAAUAUCAUCUGCUGGAGAUCCCUACCUCGAUCACAACUGCGAAGACCCUAAUUCCAAGUUGGCCAUGGCUUUGAUUACAUGGUGUUGUCUGCACCGGGAGGAGGCAGGGACCAGCAAGUGUUGUAAGUGGUUGCACUCCCUACAGAGGGCAACUCGGAAAAAUCUCUCAGAAGGACGAAUCCUUUGACCCUGCUUCGAGGAAGUCGUGCUGCCUGUGGUGAUCUUGGGGACGAGGUCAUUGCAGCGCAGCUCCUUAGCUUCUCAGGAAAAACCUACAUACUCAUCGCUGGCCUGUGCACGCCACACAGCACAGCAGAAUAUUCGACGAGCAAAGAAAAGACCGAGGAAGGAGGUUUUCGGGCUGUGAUAAGGGACUGUCUCUAAGUUCCACGUUGCAGGACACACGGUCGUCAGAAGGAAUCUGGACUCCAUCUGGAACAGAGCGAGGACCCCUCUACAGAGCCGGGACCUUCUCCGGAAAGGAGCUGGGCCUGCAUGGCCGUGCACAGAUGCCGGGAGUGCGGUGCUCUGUCCACCCAGGACUCCGCUUGCAGGGCCUCACGCUGCAUGGCUGACCCAACCCAGGACUGCGCUUGCGGGGCCUCACACUGCCUGGCCCACCCAAUUUCAAACAGUUCUCACGCUAGAAGAUGCACAAAGCCAGCUUUACAUUUUGGGGAAUGAUUCAGAAGGGCCAGGGACCUGCCGAGACACCUGGGGCUUCUUUGUGGGGCCCCAUCAAUGGGAGGCGGGGACCCUUGGGUCAGCCCAGACCCUGCUGGGCCUCAGUUUCUCAUGCCCAGCUCCAGCCGGGAGCCUGGGCAGGUCCAGAAUCACCGCACACGCAGAAGGGCCUCACUAGGACGGGGUGAGAGGUGAGGCUGGGAGCUGGGGCUUCCUCUUGGGAGUCCAGCGGGGCGACUGCCGCCCACGUGUGGGCUCCCUUGAAAUUCACAGACACACCCAGCGCGGUUGCUGGCCGCAGUGCUGGCUCAAUAAGGCCAGUGGAGUCAGACAGUGAGAAGUCACCAUUUCCUGCUGAUCUGAAACAUCUUGUGAAACCCUCUGGCCCAGCCCUUUCCUUUCUCGUGGCAGCCUCUGGUCCCCUGUGGACUUUCCUGUUUACUGCACCCCAGAGGUGGGCCCUGACCUGGUUGAGCUGGGCUUAGCUGUCAGAUUCCAUUUUGGGCCUCGGCCCCCAGGUCCCGGCCUGCAGGCAGCUGGGCUGGUCGGGGCCGGCUCCUUCAUGCAGCCAGCGCAUUAGCUCCAGGCCUGGGGUGCUGCCCGCUGUGCCCCUUCCUGGAAGCCCUCCCUGCCUCUCCAGCGGGAGACAAUGCAGCCUCUGGGGCAAGGCAGGAGGCUGCGGGCAGGCUCCAGGGACCUCCUGCCAGGCGUGGCUGCAGGGCGCCCCUCCCAGGUGAGGCUGGCAGCUGCCUCCUGGUCAGGUUCACACCCACCCUCAGCGUGCAACAACCCCCCUCCUCAGCCCCUUCUGCUGUGACCUGGGCUGCUCCUCCCUGCGGUCACUAUAGGAGUCCCACGGCCCUGUCCCCAAUCCUGCCCUUCUGCCUAGUCCUGGGCCCCUCCCCUUGAGCACUUCCCAAGCUCUGAGCCACAAGCCCGUGGGCCUCUGGAAAUCCCAGGGCCUGGGGUAUGACGGGGCCAGGGAGGGGGAGAUUUGUCCCGGGGCAGCUGCUUUGGGCAGUUCGCUCUCGCAUGGAGGGCAUGGUCCAGGCCCUGUCGGGUGGGCAGGUGGCCCCACAGCUUUCUGGGCAGGGGUCUUGCCUGCUGGCCUCAUGCUGAGCGCACCUGAUCAGCCACCCGCUGCGUGUCUCACCAUAGCCCCACUGUACAGGUGAGAACAUGGAGCUGACUGAGGGAACAGUGUGGACGCAGCAGAGUCGCCUGAGAACCCAGCUCCAUGGCCCCCACGCCAGCCACCAAACCCCUCUGUGACCUGAGAAACAGAAACCAGACUCAGCCCGGCAGGUGUCAGACCCUGGUCUGGUUGGUCCGCAGCGGCUCCUGGCUCAGCGCAGGGACUGCCAGGGUCCAGGGGCCCUCAGGGGACUUGUUGAAGCCCAGCUCCUGCCAGGGAGGACAAGAACUCUCUUCUUCCAGGAGUAAACAGAAACGAGGGCCUGGCCCUGGGGUCCUAGGUGCCUCUGACCCCACCAGGAACCUCUGAGUCUCCCGAAGCACCUGCUGGCAGGGUGGGUGCAGCUCAGCAUGUGGGAGGACAUCGGGUCGCCAUUUCCCGAUAGAGCCAACAGCCUCUCCUCAAUGUGCUGUGCGGCCAGCCUGCCCCAGCUGGCUCUGGACUGAGGAGGUGGGCGCAGGGACUACAGAAGGGUCCAUGCUGGUGGGGGGCCCACUGCUGGGCCUAGGCAGGAGAAGGCUCCAGGCCAGAGGCCGCUAGCAGGGCAGACCCCAGCCUAGCCACGCGGGCUGGGAGGAAAGGGGAGGAUGCGGCGUCUGCUGUGACAGGCUUUGGGUCAAGGGUCUGCUCUGAGCCCCGAGCUCACCGCCACAGGGGCUUUCCCAGGCUGGCUUGGCAGCGGGCGGGGGCUCAGGGGAGCUCAGGAAGCGGGUGGUUCCCACAGCAGCGGCUCAGGCAGGCGGCCCACACACCCAGCCAGCGGGCUCCCGUGGGAAGGAGACCUGGAGGCCGGGGCUCUCCUCCCGUCUGCUCUAACCUCCUGGACAACCUUCAAUGCUGUCCUUCCCUCUCAGGCCUCAGUUUCCCAGUGAUCUUGAGGGGUGGUCGCUGGAGGUCAAAAGGGGAAGAUGACUGUUCAGUUGCCUUGUAAGCAGUGAACGCUUGCAGAAUCACAGCAGCUCCUGGCGUGGCUGGAUCCAGGGCUCCGGCAAUGCUGCCUGGACUUUGUGUCUGUCCCUCUUUGGGCUCCCUGACCCUGAUGUGGGCUCCCUCCCUGGUAAUCCCUUCCCACGGUGUGGCAAAGAUGGCUCAUGUCCCCCAGGUCGGCAACUCCCCUGGAAGAUAGGGUCUGCACAGGUCCUAGGCCCCCCUGUUCCAGGCAGCCUGGGCCCAGAAGUCCAAACACGUGGGCAGAUGGUUAGGGGAACAGUGGGUCCCCAAACCACAGCUGUCCACUGAAAGUGCUGACCACAAGCCAGGCCCAGGGCCAAGCACCAAGUGCCCACUGAGCCCACCUCAUCCCCUCACAGGUGCCAAAAGUGAGUCCAUUCCACAGAAGGGCACCCAAGGUGCAGAGCGGAAGUGUCACCUGCCUGAGGUCACCCAGCUUCAGGCAGAGACCAGGUGGAUAUGAGGAUCAAGGAUCCCGGUUCCACGGGCUGAAUUUCAACUCCUGAGCUCUCCUCGGGCUUCCCCAGUGAUUCUGGAGCCCUGCAGGGCAGGAAGCGAGUCCUAAUGCCCAUCCCAGACCUGCCGCCUCAGUGUCCCUUCCUGCCUUGGGGGGAAAGCUGGGGUGAGGAGGAUGCAACAGGGGCAACCGUUGGACCCCAGGGAGAGCCCAAGUCCUGGGCAUAAAGCACAGCACAUUCAUUCCGGAGCUGGGCCUCACCUGGGGCAAAUCAUAUUUUCACUCUAAAACAAAUGCAAACUCAAUGAUUAAGAUGAGCUACACACACUGGCUCUAAGGUGAACAAUUCAGGAGGGUUUGGUCGCACGCGGCCAGCGUGGGCCCUCAGUAGCGCCUCUGGGUGGAGCUCUCUCGGGAGUCUUCCCUCUCGGCUGUGGGACUCGAGGCGGCCAGGAGAAGCCAGAACUGAGGGCAUGCGGUCCACGCAGGAGCACGGGAGCCACGGGCCACGGGGUCCCCUCCUCACAGGAGCCACUGGUCGCGGGCAAGCACUGGGUGGUGGUGGAGUCCCAGAUGAGCUCCAGCACUGUCCAGAGAAAACAAGGCUACCGUCCAGCACACGUCCUCACUCACCCCGGCCACGGUGAUCUGACCACGGCCACGACCAGGCCACGGGGCCUCCCCACCACUGGGUCAAAGGCUGUUCUCAAGAGACUCAGUGACUUUUGGAGCACAGAGCAUCUUGGGUUAGUCUCCUGUCCACUUGGUUCCAUCAGCUGAGUUGUGCAGGGGUUCCUGGCCCACCUGGAACGCAGGGCCUUCCUGAGAUGCCAAGUACCCUGGGCUACAAGGGAGAGUUCCCGUGGCUGGAGGGCAUGGCCACCGGGAGGACGCCACAGAGAAAGUCCCAGGACCGAUGCUCUGAAAGCUGACCCAGUGCUGCCUCGGAGGGCCCCGGCUUGACUCACCACCCAUCCCCGCACUAAGUCUAUGCUGACCCUGGCAUGCUGCACCCACCCAACCCUUGUCCUCUGCAGGUCCCAGUCUGGUGGGGCAAUGGGCACCGAGUGAAGUUUUAAGAAAAUGACUGUGGUUUCCAACCAUAAUGACGAGCCCAGCAGUCUGGGUUGUGGGGCUUGUGGAAGGCUCCAUCAGAGGGUCCUGUGAGCUGAGGAAAGGGAUCGAGCUGGACCCCAGGACACACUUCUACCCCUAACUCUGCUCCUAGGGGCUCUAAAAAGUAAAGGAGUGUAUUAGGCCAUUCUCACACUGCUAUAAAGAGCUACCUAAGGGCGGGCGCAGCAGCUCAAGCCUGUAAUCCCAGCACUUUGGGAGGCCAAGGCAGGCAGAUCACGAGGUCAGGAGCUCGAGACCAGCCCGACCAACAUGGUGAAACCCUGUCUCUACUAAAAAUACAAAAAUUAGCUGGGCAUGGUGGCAAGCACCUAUAAUCCCAGCUACUCAGGAGGCUGAGGCGGGAGAAUCGCUUGAACUUGGGAGGUGGAGUUUGCAGUGAGCCGAGAUCAAGCUGCUACACUCCAGCCUGGACGACAGAGCAAGACUCUGUCUCAAAAAAUAAAAACUACCUGAGACUAGGUAAUUUAUGAAAAAAGAAGUUUAAUUGACACAGUUCUGCAGGCUGUUCAGGAGGCAUGGCUGAGGAGGCCUCAGGAAACUUACAAUCAUGGUGGAAGGCAAAGAGGAAGCAGGCACCAUUUUCAUAUGGCCAGAGCAGGAGAGAGUGCGAAGGGGGAAGUCCAUCCCGUGCUUCAAUCAUGGCCCACCAGGCCACGCCUUCAACAUGUGGGGAUUACAAUUUGACAUGAAAUUUGGGUGGGGACAUAGAACCAAACCAUAUCAUUCCAGCCCUGGCCCCUCCCAAAUCUCAUGUCCUUCUCACAUUUCAAAACACAAUCAUGCCUUCUCAACAGACCCCCAAAUCUUAACCCAUUUCAGCAUUAACUCAAAAGUCCAAAGUCUCAUCUGAGACAAGACAAGUCCCUUCUGCCUAUGAGCCUGUAAAAUCAAAAACAAGUUACUUACUUCCAAGAUACAAUGUGGGUACAGGCACUGGGUAAAUGCUCCCAUUUCAAAAGGGAGAAAUUGGCCAAAACAAAGGGCCUACAGGCCCCAUGCAUGUCCUGAACCCAGUAGGGUAGUCAUUAAACGGUUUUUUGUUUUUUUUUUGAGAUGAAGUCUUGCUCUUGUCCCCCAGGCUGGAGUGCAAUGGCACGACCUCGGCUCACUGCAACCUCCGCCUCCUGGGUUCAAGCAAUUCUCUUGCCUCAGCCUCCCGAGUAGCUGGGAUUACAGGCACCUGCCACCACGCCCAGCUAAUUUUUGUAUUUUUAGUAGAAAUGGGGUUUCACCACAUUGGCCAGGCUGAUCUCAAACUCCUGACUUCAAGUGAUCUGAAGCAGUCAUUAAAUCUUAAAGCUCCAAAACAAUAUCCUUUGACUCCAUGUCUCACAUCCAGGCCACACUGACUCAAGGGGUGGGAUCCCAAGGCCUUGGGCAGCUCCACCCCUCUGGCUCUGCAGGAUACAGCCCCCUGUGGCUGCUUUCACAAGCUGGCAUUGAGUACCUGUGGCUUUUCCAGGCACACAGUGCAAGCUGUCAGUGGAUCUACCAUUCUGGGGUCUGGAGGACAGUGGCCCUCUCCUCACUGCUCCACUAGGCAGUGCCCCAGCGGGGACUCUGUGUGGGGGCUCCAACCCCAUAUUUUCCCUCCGAACUGUUCUAGUAGAGGUUCUCCAUGAGGGCUCACCCCCUGCAGCAGACUUCUGUCUGGACAUCCAGGCAUUUCCAUACAUCCUCUGAAACCUAGGUGGAGGCUCCAAAACCGUAACGCUUGCUUUCUGCACAUCUGUGAGCCCAACAGCACAUGGAAACUGCCAAGGCUUGGGGCUUGCACCCUCUGAAGCAAUGGUCUGAGGUAUACCUUUCAGCCAUGGCUGGAGCUAGAGUGGCUGGGAUGCAGGGUGCCAUGUCCCAAGGCUGCACAAAGCAGCAGGGCCCUGGGCCUGACCCAUGAAACCAUUUUUCCCUCCCAGGCCUCCAGGCCUGUGAUGGGAGGGGCUGCUGUGAAGGUCUCUGAAAUGCCCUGGAGACAUUUUCCCCAUUGUCUUGGUGAUUAACAUUUGGCUCUUUUUUGCUUAUGCAAAUUUCUGCAGGCUUGAAUUCCUCCCUAGAAAAUGGGUUUUACUUUUCAAUUGCAUAGUCAGGCUGCAAAAUUUUCAAACUUUUAUGUUCUGCUUCACUUUUAAACAUAAGUUCCGAUUUUGGGUCGUUUCCUUCUUUAUGCAAAUAAACAUAAGCUUUUAGAAGCAGCCAGACCACAUCUCGAAUGCUUUGCUGCCUAGACAUUUCUUCCAUCAGAUACCCUAAAUCAUCUCUCUCAAGUUCAAAGUUCCACAGAUCCCUAGAGCAGGGGCACAGUGCUGCCUGUCUCCUUGCUGGAGCAUAGCAAGAGUGACCUUUCCUCCCUUUCCCAAUAAGUUCCUCAUCUCCAUCUGAGAUCACCUCAGCCUGGACUUCACUGUCCGUAUCGCUAUCAGCAUUUUGGUUACAACCAUUCAACAAAUCUCUAGGAAGUUCCAAACUUUCCCUCACCUUCCUGUCUUCUUCUGAGCCCUUCGAACUGUCCCAGCCUCUGUCCACGACCCAGUUCCCAUGCUGCUUCCACAUUCUCAGGCAUCUUUAGAGCAGUGCCUCUCUCCCAGUACCAUUUUCUGUGUUAGUCUCUUCUCACACGGCUAUAAAGAACUACCUGAGAAUUAGGUAAUUUAUGAAGAAAAGAGGUUUAAUCAGCUCACAGUCCCACAGGCUGUGCAGGAGGGAUGGCUGAGGAGGCCUCAGGAAAUCAUGGCGAAAGGCAAAGGGGAAGUGGGUUCUGUCUUCACACGGCCAGAGCAGGAGAGGGAGACAGCGAAGGGGAAAGUCCAUUCCAUGAUUAAAUCACCUUCCACCAGGUCCCUCCUUCAUGUGGGGAUUACAACUUGAUUGGGGGUGGGGGUACACAGAGCCAAACCAUAUCAAGGAGCAAAGAGGUGCAUGUUUCAUUUAAAACACAGCCCUCAGGCUGGGUGCAGUGACUCACGCCCGUAAUCCCAGCACUUUGGGAGGCCAAGGCAGGUGGAUCAUGAGGUCAGGAGAUUGAGACCAUCCUGGCUAAUACGGUGAAAUCCCGUCUCUACUA
rnacentral:lncRNA from 1 species